rnacentral:rRNA from 1 species
CAGGCCUAACACAUGCAAGUCGAGCGGUAAGGCCUCUUUGGGGGUACACGAGCGGCGAACGGGUGAGUAACACGUGGGUGACCUGCCCCCUACUCUGGGAUAAGCCUGGGAAACUGGGUCUAAUACCGGAUAUGACCACAUGUUGCAUGGUGUGUGGUGGAAAGCCAGUUACAUUUGUUUCUGGCGGUGGGGGAUGGGCCCGCGGCCUAUCAGCUUGUUGGUGGGGUGAUGGCCUACCAAGGCGACGACGGGUAGCCGGCCUGAGAGGGCGACCGGCCACACUGGGACUGAGACACGGCCCAGACUCCUACGGGAGGCAGCAGUGGGGAAUAUUGCGCAAUGGGCGGAAGCCUGACGCAGCGACGCCGCGUGGGGGAUGACGGCCUUCGGGUUGUAAACCUCUUUCGGCCCCGACGAAGCGAAAGUGACGGUAGGGGUGGAAGAAGCACCGGCCAACUACGUGCCAGCAGCCGCGGUAAU